ACGAACGCUGGCGGCGUGCUUAACACAUGCAAGUCGAACGGAAAGGCCCUGCUUUUGUGGGGUGCUCGAGUGGCGAACGGGUGAGUAACACGUGAGUAACCUGCCCUUGACUUUGGGAUAACUUCAGGAAACUGGGGCUAAUACCGGAUAGGAGCUCCUGCUGCAUGGUGGGGGUUGGAAAGUUUCGGCGGUUGGGGAUGGACUCGCGGCUUAUCAGCUUGUUGGUGGGGUAGUGGCUUACCAAGGCUUUGACGGGUAGCCGGCCUGAGAGGGUGACCGGCCACAUUGGGACUGAGAUACGGCCCAGACUACUACGGGAGGCAGCAGUGGGGAAUAGUGCACAAUGGGCGGAAGCCUGAUGCAGCAACGCCGCGUGCGGGAUGACGGCCUUCGGGUUGUAAACCGCUUUCGCCUGUGACGAAGCGUGAGUGACGGUAAUGGGUAAAGAAGCACCGGCUAACUACGUG
rnacentral:rRNA from 1 species